GAUGAAGAACGCAGCGAAAUGCGACAAGUAAUGUGAAUUGCAGAAUUCAGUGAAUCAUCGAGUCUUUGAACGCACAUUGCGCCCUCUGGUAUUCCGGAGGGCAUGCCUGUCCGAGCGUCAUUGCUGCCCUCAAGCACGGCUUGUGUGUUGGGCCCCGCCCCCCGAUCCCGGGGGGCGGGCCCGAAAGGCAGCGGCGGCACCGCGUCCGGUCCUCGAGCGUAUGGGGCUUUGUCACCCGCUCUGUAGGCCCGGCCGGCGCCUGCCGAUCAACCAAACUUUUUUCCAGGUUGACCUCGGAUCAGGUAGGGAUACCCGCUGAACUUAAGCAUAUCAAUAAGCGGAGGA
rnacentral:misc_RNA from 1 species